GGUUUGUUUUCAUGUUAAUCCUUCAUAAAACAUUUCAUAUUUAAUGGAUUAUCAGUUAAACGUUCUUCACUAAAUAUGAACCUCUUGAAACUAAAGAAGUACCAUGUAUGGACUAUGUUUGUACACUCAAAAUUUGUAGGAAUACUUGCUGAUCUGUUUUGAAUAGCUGUAACAACUUUGACCCCAGAGCAUUGAUUGGUUAAAAUGAAGAUUUCCUUCAUGUUUAUUGAGGGAAAAUUGAAAGAUUAACUUAAUUUGAUACCAAACAGUUGAAUGACAAUGAGUUUGAAAUUGUGUUGUUUGAAUAUCUCUCUCAGAAGAAUUUCCUUGCUUGAAAUAGUUCACUUGCCUGAAGGACUACCUAAAGUUUGAAAGAUGUCAUCUUCUAUAACUGAUGAUACAAGCUUAAUUAGAAUCGACCACAACUUACUAAGUGUACCUUUCUGACUUGUGGCUCUACUAAUUAUGCCUGUUCUUUCCAUGUAGGGAAUGACUAGCCUGAAGUAACAAUUGUGCUCUGAUUUAUAAAUGUGUUCUGAUGUUCAAAAAAAAAGCUUUAGACCAGAAAAUGCCUUCUAUGGAGAGAAAUAAAAAUCACAUUUGGGAUCAAAUUUGAGACUGUGGGAGCAACAACUGUGUGGAUCUGUCUCCAAACUUGGAGAGCUGCCAUUGCUUAUGGAGAUUUACAUAACUAUCUAAAAUAUUUGAUAUUUACUGAAUUCAAUUUUCACCACCUGCCAUUGUCAGAUUGAAACCCAUUUCACCAGAACAUUACCAAUGGAUUCUAGAUUACUAGUCUAGCAACAUCACCGGUAUACAGGUGCUGUCAGACCUGUUGAGAAUUUCCAACAUUUUCUGGAUCUAUUAUGUAUUCAUUCAAAAGGAAAAGAGUCUAUGCAACAAAUUCAGAAGACUGGAACUUCCAUCUCAACACUGUCAAAUCUGCUAAAUAAUCAAACUAUUUCUGAGUUCCUGAUGUCUUAAAUUAUAUACAAACUGAAUGACAGUUCUUCAUUUGAAUCUAACAGGAAAAUGUCUUUCAUUUACUGUAGACCUAAUGAAAAAAUAACAAUUCAAAUAACAUUUCAGAACCCAUUGCUUGGUACUGUGGAAUUAAUUAAUUUUGUGCUCUGGCAAGAGAUCAGCAACCUGAAACUUUAAAUCUCUUUCUCUCCUCAUGAUGCUACUUGGCCCACUAAGUAUUUACAACAUUUUUGAGUUUUAUUUUACCAUGCUAGCAUUGGCAACAUUGUACUUUCUCAUUUUCUGUUAUUUUCUGUUGACUGCUUCUAAGGUGUAAAUUGUAGGAUAUCAGGACACAAAAACUAGGCAUUCAUUCAUGACGU